rnacentral:rRNA from 1 species
GACGAACGCUGGCGGCGUGCCUAAUACAUGCCAGUCGAGCGGACGAAUCGAAAGCUUGCUUUUGAUUCGUUAGCGGCGGACGGGUGAGUAACACGUGGGCAACCUGCCCUGUAGACGGGGAUAACACCGAGAAAUCGGUGCUAAUACCGGAUAACACGAAAUGUCGCAUGACGUUUCGUUGAAAGACGGCGCAAGCUGUCGCUACAGGAUGGGCCCGCGGCGCAUUAGCUAGUUGGUGAGGUAACGGCUCACCAAGGCGACGAUGCGUAGCCGACCUGAGAGGGGGUGCGGCCACAGGGGAACUGAGACCCGCCCCAACCUCCGACGGGAGGCAGAAGGAGGGAUGUGCCAGCAAGGGCCAAAGUUCGGCGGGGGCACCGCGGGGUGAGCAAAAAGGGCCUCCGGGUCGAAAAGCUUUGUGUUUAGGAAAAAAAAAGAACCGCAGAAACGGGCGUUCCCGUGGGGGUACCUAACGAGAAGACCACGGCAAACUAGGGG